rnacentral:rRNA from 1 species
AUUGAACGCUGGCGGCAGGCCUAACACAUGCAAGUCGAGCGAGCGGCGGACGGGUGAGUAAUGCCUGGGAAUUGCCCAGUCGAGGGGGAUAACAGUUGGAAACGACUGCUAAUACCGCAUACGAGUGGAAUGCCCAGGUGGGAUUAGCUAGUUGGUGAGGUAAUGGCUCACCAAGGCGAAGAUCCCUAGCUUGUCUGCGAGGAUGAUCAGCCACAAGGGAACAGAGACACGGUCCAGACUCCUACGGGAGGCAGCAGUGGGGAAUAGGGGACAAUGGGUGAAACCCUGAUGCAGCCAUGCCGCGUGUGUGAAGAAGGCUGUCGGGUUGUAAAGCACUUUCAGCGAGGAGGCGUGACUCGCAGAAGAAGCACCGGCUAACUCCGUGCCAGCAGCCGCGGUAAUUC